GCCCCCGUAGCUCAGGUGGAUAGAGCAUCGGUUUCCUAAACCGAGUGUCGGACGUUCGAGUCGUCUCGGGGGCACCA
rnacentral:tRNA from 1 species